UACGGAGGAUGCGAGCGUUAUCCGGAUUUAUUGGGUUUAAAGGGUGCGCAGGCGGCGUGUCAAGCAAGCAGUAAAAUAGCGGGGCUCAACCCCGUCGAGCCGUUUGAACUGGCGCGCUUGAGUUCAGGCGAGGUAGGCGGAAUUCGUGGUGUAGCGGUGAAAUGCAUAGAUAUCACGAAGAACUCCGAUUGCGAAGGCAGCUUACCAGUCUGCGACUGACGCUCAGGCACGAAAGUGUGGGUAUCGAACAGG
rnacentral:rRNA from 1 species